AUUGAACGCUGGCGGCAGGCCUAACACAUGCAAGUCGAACGGUAACAGGAAGCAGCUUGCUGCUUUGCUGACGAGUGGCGGACGGGUGAGUAAUGUCUGGGAAACUGCCUGAUGGAGGGGGAUAACUACUGGAAACGGUAGCUAAUACCGCAUAACGUCGCAAGACCAAAGAGGGGGACCUUCGGGCCUCUUGCCAUCGGAUGUGCCCAGAUGGGAUUAGCUAGUAGGUGGGGUAACGGCUCACCUAGGCGACGAUCCCUAGCUGGUCUGAGAGGAUGACCAGCCACACUGGAACUGAGACACGGUCCAGACUCCUACGGGAGGCAGCAGUGGGGAAUAUUGCACAAUGGGCGCAAGCCUGGUGCAGCCAUGCCGCGUGUAUGAAGAAGGCCUUCGGGUUGUAAAGUACUUUCAGCGGGGAGGAAGGGAGUAAAGUUAAUACCUUUGCUCAUUGACGUUACCCGCAGAAGAAGCACCGGCUAACUCCGUG
rnacentral:rRNA from 1 species